AAAUGGAGUCACUUUCUCGGGGAACUGCUAAGCUUAAUGGUUGAAUUUAAAACAUUGUUACUAUCUGAUAAAAAUGUGAUUUUCUCGUUUUUACAUCUGUUCUGGGCUGCUCACGCAAUAAUCUUCUACUGCCAGAAACAAUUGGAGAAAGGUUUGAAAAAUCUAAAAAGAAUCAGAUCAUGCAUUUCAUUGUUGGCUUUGCUCUAACCUUCCUUCUUUUGCACUGCUAAACAUCCUUUCUUUGGUCAAAGGAGUGGAUGGUCAACUCUUACCUGUAAAAGAUGUUAAAAUAUUGGCUAGCAUUCUUUUGAAAAGGCGCCAUGAAUAUCAUAUUCAACAUGCAGAGUCUUGUCAAAAGUUAUCAAAGACAGGGGUUUAUAUCCUCUGGCUUCUACUAGAGACCUGUGCUGAAUUUGUAUCUUCUUCACCUGGUGAAUGUGAAGACCUACUAUUGGAGGUGCUGUAGCAGGGUGAGCCAGCCUCUAAAGAUCCAGCUGUUUUGCUGCCUUUCAUAAUUGUCUUGAGGAGUCUCACUAACUCAUCUUUUGGAGCUAUGAGUAAUAAAAAUCAGAUGUGGUUGCAGGUCAAAAGAAAAUUAUUUCAGAGGUUGUUGCUAUGAAGGUGGGAAGACCUGUCUCUCUUUCCAAGUUUGGUACCAACUGUGGAGGCCUUUUAUUUUUUUAUUAUUGAUUAUGUUUUGUUUGUAUUUCCAGCUUUCCGAACUUAACUGCAGCUCCAAGCAAUUUGAUUUAGCUAAAAAUCAGUUAGAAAGUUGUAGACAGAUGCAUGUAGAGAAGUUGUUAAAAGAAUUCAAAUAAUUUGUAUUUUAUGAGAUAGUUUUAUUGUAAAAAUUUAUAUUAAUUUUGUUAUAAUUAAAAAUGUCAAUAAUUAGUAUA